ACAUCAACCUACCACAUACACCCAACAACCAAACACCCAACUUCGCAUACCAUUCAUGCCAUCCACCCAACAACCAAACACCCAACGUCGCAAUCCGUUCAUGCCACCCACCCAACCACAAAACCAAGAAUCAAACUCUACCCACCAACAACCAUACGAUUCAACCACAACCGUCUAUAGCCCAAAUAAUUCAUAUGAGUCACUUCAUCGUAGCUCCCCACCAAUGACCACUCAAACAUCCCAUCACCAAAACACACAACCAUUGUUUAACUAUACUACACCCUAGGAACCAUUGCUUCGUUUCCAAAACGAUUCAAUGUCCCAAUUCGGACAACUAUACCGUUCGCAAUCCACCCAACCCCAUUGACCUAACUACGAUGACAUGGGCACCGAACUCCAUUACGAAAGCGUCGUUGGCCAGAGCCCCUCCGGAUAUUGGGAACAAAUGAUGACACAUCUGUCAAAUACCGUUGGAACUUCCGCCGGACCUUCACACCAGCCAUCAUUCGAUCAGGUCAGCACACAAAGACCUCAAACACCUCAAGAAAAUCGUGGGAGACCUCAGAGACAAACUAACGCACCUGGUUGUGGAACAGGGGGACCUUUCGAUCGGGU
rnacentral:lncRNA from 1 species